CGCCAGCCCGCUCAGAAACUUAAGGAAUUGACGGGGGCCCGCACAAGCGGUGGAGCAUGUGGUUUAAUUCGAUGAUACGCGAGGAACCUUACCUGGGCUCAAAUGUAUGUUGACGUAUUCUGAAAGGGAUACUUCUUCGGACAAUAUACAAGGUGCUGCAUGGUUGUCGUCAGCUCGUGCCGUGAGGUGUCGGGUUAAGUCCCAUAACGAGCGCAACCCCUAUCAUUAGUUGCCAUCAGGUCAAGCUGGGGACUCUAAUGAAACUGCCUACGCAAGUAGUGAGGAAGGUGGGGAUGACGUCAAAUCAGCACGGCCCUUACGUCCAGGGCUACACACGUGCUACAAUGGCCGAUACAGAGGGCAGCUACCUGGUGACAGGAUGCAAAUCUCCAAAGUCGGUCUCAGUUCGGAUCGGAGUCUGCAACCCGACUCCGUGAAGUUGGAUUCGCUAGUAAUCGCGCAUCAGCCAUGGCGCGGUGAAUACGUUCCCGGGCCUU
rnacentral:rRNA from 1 species